rnacentral:rRNA from 1 species
AAGUCGUAACAAGGUUUCCGUAGGUGAACCUGCGGAAGGAUCAUUACCAGAGAGGAGCCCGUUCUCCUUGGGGCUUCGCCCCGCGGGCCCCGUCCCGUCUCUUCCCCCCGUGUCGACCGACCUCCGUUGCUUUGGCGGGCCGGGGGCGUCUGCCCCCCUUUCGUACCGGCGGGUGACCUCGCGUUCGCGCGGAUGGACCCCGCCGGCGGGGGCUGUGCCCGUCCAUCGCCUCCCAUCCAACCCUCUUGAUCAGUGUCGUCCGAGUCCAUCAGCACAAUUAUCAAAACUUUCAACAACGGAUCUCUUGGUUCUGGCAUCGAUGAAGAACGCAGCGAAAUGCGAUAAGUAAUGUGAAUUGCAGAAUUCAGUGAAUCAUCGAAUCUUUGAACGCACAUUGCGCCCCUCGGGAUUCCGGGGGGCAUGCCUGUUCGAGCGUCAUUGCACCCCUCAAGCUCCGGCUUGGUCUUGGGUCUUCGCCCCCCGGGCGGCCCCGAAAACCAGCGGCGGUCCGGAGCGGCUUUCAGCGCAGUACAUCCAUCUCCCGCUGUGAAAGUGCGCCCCGCGGCUUGCGAUCACCCCCCCGACCCAUCAAUGAUUGACCUCGGAUCAGGCAGGGAUACCCGCUGAACUUAAGCAUAUCAAUAAGCGGAGGAAAAGAAACCAACAGGGAUUGCCUCAGUAACGGCGAGUGAAGCGGCAACAGCUCAAAUUUGAAAUCUGGUCCGUUCCGGCCCCGAGUUGUAAUUUGGAGAGGGUGUUUCGGGCGCGGCGCGGGUCUAAGUCCUUUGGAACAGGGCGUCAGAGAGGGUGAGAAUCCCGUAUGCGACCCGCGACCAAGCCCAUCGGAAACCCCUUCGACGAGUCGAGUUGUUUGGGAAUGCAGCUCAAAAUGGGUGGUAAAUUUCAUCUAAAGCUAAAUACCGGCCAGAGACCGAUAGCGCACAAGUAGAGUGAUCGAAAGAUGAAAAGCACUUUGGAAAGAGAGUCAAACAGUACGUGAAAUUGUUGAAAGGGAAGCGCUUGCGACCAGACCUGCCCGCGGGCGAUCAACCUCCGUUCUCGGGGGUGCACUCGACCGCGAUCAGGCCAGCAUCGGUUCGGGCGGCCGGAUAAAGGCCUUGGGAAUGUAGCUUCCUCCGGGGAGUCUUAUAGCCCUCGGUGCAAUGCGGCCAGCCGGGACCGAGGACCGCGCUUCGGCUAGGAUGCUGGCGUAAUGGUCGCAAGCGACC